GACGGAGGAUGCAAGUGUUAUCCGGAAUCACUGGGCGUAAAGCGUCUGUAGGUGGUCAAAUAAGUCAACUGUUAAAUCUUGAGGCUCAACCUCAAAAUCGCAGUCGAAACUAUUAGACUAGAGUAUAGUAGGGGUAAAGGGAAUUUCCAGUGGAGCGGUGAAAUGCGUAGAGAUUGGAAGGAACACCGAUGGCGAAGGCACUUUACUGGGCUAUUACUAACACUCAGAGACGAAAGCUCGGGUAGCAAAUGGG
rnacentral:rRNA from 1 species